ACGGGUGAGUAAUACAUCGGAACGUGCCCUGUAGUGGGGGAUAACUAGUCGAAAGAUUAGCUAAUACCGCAUACGACCUGAGGGUGAAAGUGGGGGACCGCAAGGCCUCAUGCUAUAGGAGCGGCCGAUGUCUGAUUAGCUAGUUGGUGGGGUAAAGGCCCACCAAGGCGACGAUCAGUAGCUGGUCUGAGAGGACGAUCAGCCACACUGGGACUGAGACACGGCCCAGACUCCUACGGGAGGCAGCAGUGGGGAAUUUUGGACAAUGGGGGCAACCCUGAUCCAGCAAUGCCGCGUGUGUGAAGAAGGCCUUCGGGUUGUAAAGCACUUUUGUCCGGAAAGAAAUCGCACUUACUAAUAUUAGGUGUGGAUGACGGUACCGGAAGAAUAAGGACCGGCUAACUACGUGCCAGCAGCCGCGGUAAUACGUAGGGUCCAAGCGUUAAUCGGAAUUACUGGGCGUAAAGCGUGCGCAGGCGGUUGUGCAAGACCGAUGUGAAAUCCCCGGGCUUAACCUGGGAAUUGCAUUGGUGACUGCACGGCUAGAGUGUGUCAGAGGGGGGGUAGAAUUCC
rnacentral:rRNA from 1 species